rnacentral:rRNA from 1 species
UUGAUCCUGGCUCAGGACGAACGCUGGCGGCGUGCCUAACACAUGCAAGUCGAACGGGGAUUAUUCGGAUGAAGUUUUCGGACGGAUGAAGAAUAAUUCUAGUGGCGAACGGGUGAGUAACACGUGAACAACCUGCCCUGAAGUGGGGGAUAACACUUGGAAACAAGUGCUAAUACCGCAUAAGACCACGACCCGGCAUCGGGAUGAGGUCAAAGAUUUAUCGCUUUAGGAGGGGUUCGCGUCCCAUUAGGUAGAUGGCGGGGUAACGGCCCACCAUGCCGACGAUGGGUAGCCGAGCUGAGAGGCUGAUCGGCCACACUGGAACUGAGACACGGUUCCAGAACUCCUACGGAGGCAGCAGUGGGGAAUAUUGGGCAAUGGGCGCAAGCCUGACCCAGCAACGCCGCGUGAGGGAAGAAGGUUUUCGGAUUGUAAACCUCUGUCGCAAGGGACGAAGAAGUGACGGUACCUUGUGAGGAAGCCCCGGCUAACUACGUGCCAGCAGCCGCGGUAAUACGUAGGGGGCGAGCGUUGUCCGGAAUUACUGGGCGUAAAGGGUGCGUAGGCGGCUUUUUAAGUUGGAUGUGAAAUACCCGGGCUUAACUUGGGGGGUGCAUUCAAAACUGGAGGGCUAGAGUUCAGGAGAGGGAAGCGGAAUUCCUAGUGUAGCGGUGAAAUGCGUAGAUAUUAGGAGGAACACCAGUGGCGAAGGCGGCUUUCUGGACUGACACUGACGCUGAUGCACGAAAGCGUGGGGAGCAAACAGGAUUAGAUACCCUGGUAGUCCACGCUGUAAACGAUGAAUACUAGUGUAGGGGGUAUGAACUCCCCCUGUGCCGUAGCAAACGCAAUAAGUAUUCCGCCUGGGGAGUACGGCCGCAAGGUUGAAACUCAAAGGAAUUGACGGGGGCCCGCACAAGCAGCGGAGCAUGUGGUUUAAUCCGAAGCAACGCGAAGAACCUUACCAAGGCUUGACAUCCCUCUGAAUUAAUCAGAGAUGAAUAAGCUCCUUCGGGAGCAAGAGACAGGUGGUGCAUGUUGUCGUCAGCUCUGUCGUGAGAUGUGGGUUAAGUCCCGCAACGAGCGCAACCUCCUAUUCUAGUUGCCAGCAAUAAAGCUGGUACUCUAAAGGAGACUGCGAUGACAAUCGGAGGAAUAGGUGGGGAUGACGUCAAAUCAUCAUGCCCCUUAUGUCUUGGGCUACACACGUGCUACAAUGGCCGGAACAAAAGGAAGCGAAGGAGAGAUCCGGAGCAAAUCCCCAUAAACCGGUCCCAGUUCGGAUUGUAGGCUGCAAUUCGCCUACAUGAAGUCGGAGUUGCUAGUAAUCGCGAAUCAGAACGUCGCGGUGAAUGCGUUCCCGGGUCUUGUACACACCGCCCGUCACACCAUGG